CAAGGUUUCCGUAGGUGAACCUGCGGAAGGAUCAUUAUCGAAUUAUAAUCCGGCGAGGGCAAAGAGGGGAGUUGUCGCUGGCCUUUCACCAGGCAUGUGCACGCUCUCCUCGGAACCUAAGCCUUAUGGGCGCGGGGCCACCCGCGUCUUCAUAUACCUCUUCGUGUAGAAAGUCUUUGAAUGUUUAUACUAUCAUCGAGUCGCGACUUCUAGGAGACGCGGUUCUUUGAGACAAAAGUUAUUACAACUUUCAGCAACGGAUCUCUUGGCUCUCGCAUCGAUGAAGAACGCAGCGAAUCGCGAUAUGUAAUGUGAAUUGCAGAUCUACAGUGAAUCAUCGAAUCUUUGAACGCACCUUGCGCUCCUCGGUGUUCCGAGGAGCAUGCCUGUUUGAGCGUCAGUAAAUUCUCAACCCCUCUCGAUUCGCUUCGAUAGGGUGCUUGGAUAGUGGGGGCUGCCGGAGACCUGGACGAAAGUCUAGGACUCGGGCUCUCCUGAAAUGAAUCGGCUUGCGGUCGACUUUCGACUUUGCAUGACAAGGCUUUUGGCGUGAUAAUGAUCGCCGUUCGCUGAAGUGCAUGAAUGAAUGGUCCCGUGCCUCUAAUGCGUCGAUGCCUUCUGGCGUCUUCCUUAUUGACUUUUGACCUCAAAUCAGGUAGGACUACCCGCUGAACUUAAGCAUAUCAAUAAGCGGAGGAAAAGAAACUAACAAGGAUUCCCCUAGUAACUGCGAGUGAACCGGGAAAAGCUCAAAUUUUGAAUCUGGCGGUCUUUCAGGCCGUCCGAGUUGUAAUCUAGAGAAGCGUCUUCC
rnacentral:rRNA from 1 species